rnacentral:misc_RNA from 1 species
AUUUAUUCAUUGCAUUCCCUCACCCCGUUAGUAUCCACGGCCGCUGCUUAAUUAAACAACUAUUGAGUUAAUGUUCCUCAAACUUUGGUAAUUUUCUGAAUUGAAUAGAUCUGUGAUCAGAGAUCCAUUGAAAUAUCUUCAACAUAGUAUGGUGUCUAUUAGUUUCAUGUUAAGAACAAGUUGGUUUUUAUUUUCCACGCGCACCUUGCAUUCAGUUUUAGUCUUUACAUAUUGAAGUACUGAGCAAAUUAAUUAUCCUGCAUAAGCCGAUGGUAUCUUUUUAUCUAGUUGUUCUUCGAUUUGAUUGGCUGUCAAUCAGCUGAGAUAUGCUUGGAGCGCAUUUCGAGCUGAUCUGUGAAUUUGACGUUUCGCCGAUGUGUUGUGAUGCGCACAAAUGACGCUAGGAUCAUUACGGAAGCUGUUCAAAAGAUUUGUUUACCUGCAUGAUAACGGGGAGGAUCAAAAACUUCAAUUAAAACAUUCAGACAUGUUCCUCGCCUGCUGCUUGAUAAACGGGCUAUGAUACGGAAUCUGCCACAUUUUUCAUACCUUUCAAAUAUUCGUGUCUGAUUAUCAUAUACAUAGACAAAGAUCAGGAGCUAUAGGAUCUAUCAUAUCACCAGAGCUCGUGACAUUAUUGACUCUGGGAGCAUCUCAAGAUGUAUUUACGUUAACACCUCAGAUGGGACUACAGACUUGGAGUAUUAAGCAUGCCUGUUUUGGCUUGGAUGUGUCUGUCCGUGUUUCCCGUUUUGUCCGUGUGUAUCAUUCCGGACGAACAACGGCUUCUAGAGAAGUUACUAGCAGACUAUAACCCCGCGGCCCGCCCCGUAUACAAUGCGUCCAAAGUGGUCCUCGUUAAGUUCGGGAUAACCCUGGCCCAGAUUUCUGAUAUGGAUGAGGUAAACCAGGUGCUGACCACCAGCGUGUGGCUGGAACAGGAAUGGCAAGACGAACGAUUGAUCUGGGAUCCAAAUGAAUACAAUGGACUGGAAACCUUGCGCAUGCCCUGUGAUAAGAUUUGGCUUCCGGAUAUAGUACUUUACAACAGCGCGGAUGACUACACUUCCGGAUAUAUGCAGAGUAAGGCAAUGGUCCGGCACGACGGAAACGUAUUCUGGCCGCCUCCCGCCAAGUUCCGGAGCUCUUGCAAGAUCGAUAUUACAUUCUUCCCGUUUGACGACCAAAUUUGUAAAAUGAAAUUUGGUUCCUGGGCCUAUGAUGGAUUCCAAGUGGAUAUAACAAACAGGACCGCGCAAGUGGACCUGUCCAACUACGUAUACAGCGGGGAGUGGGAACUGAUUACUAUAUACGGGGUUAGGAAUGAAGUGGUUUACCAGUGUUGUAAUAUUCCUUACCCGGAUGUGACGUUUACUAUUGUCAUGCGCAGAAAGACGCUGUAUUAUCUUUUCAAUAUCAUAUUUCCAUGUCUAUGGUUGACGAUUCUUAGUUUGUUGGGUUUCUGGUUGCCGCCCGACAGCGGGGAGAAAAUAACACUCGGAAUUACCGUGCUCCUGGCCUUCUCUGUAUUCAUGCUACUUAUCGCUGAAAACAUGCCGGCUACUUCAGAAUUCGUUCCUUUGAUAGGUAAAACUAAGCUUUAAAAUGCUUCCUAUUUUAUAAUUGUACGUUUAUAAUCGUACCAUUUUUAUUUUACAAACUUAAAAAAUCCUGCAUUUUAAUCUCUUUGACAGGUAUUUAUCUGACAGUGACGAUGGGUAUGACGUCAUUAUCUAUCAUACUAACAGUUUUUGUGCUACAGCUACAUCACGUGGGUCCGCACCAGAGACCUGUGCCAAGAUGGCUGCGCUUUUUGUGUGUGGACAUCUUAGCAAGAUUUAUGUGUAUGCGUCAAUCUCAAAUUCCUCAGCCGUUUGUGGACGAAUUCCGAAAGGACGAUAUGUGUUUGACUACAUUCUUUGAGAACGUUGAAAACGGUAACACUGCUGGCACGUGUAAUGGAAAUAUUCAGCAAAACUCCAAUAAUACUAUCAACAAUUACCAGAACGAUAAAUACCAUAUAGAAAUGGAGAGGGACAAAACACACCAGAAAAUUACCAACCAUUUGAAGCUUCUUGUGGAGAAGCAAGACUAUGAGGAGAACCACCAGGGUAUAGUCCACGAGUGGCAGUUCGUGGCCCAUGUGAUGGACAGGGUUCUGUUCUGGAUAUUUCUGUUCGCUGCUGUCUUAUCGUCCAUUUUAAUUUUAGUCGUACAGCCGUUAAUGAAGCCGCCAUUACAAUAAACACUGUUUGCUUUCAUUAUGUUAAAAUCAUUCAUGUAAGACAUCGUUACCACCCACGGCGCCAGGCAAAACCAUUACACAAAGUAUGAAUGUGUCUGUUAGAUUUUCUGUGUUUGAAAAUCCAGUCAGGCUUUUUAUUAUUACAAGAACUUUACAUGUGAUUUUUAUUUCUGAGAAAUAUAAAUUUGCAAAAUACACAUGUGUGAAAACUAACCAUUUUGUUAGAAGAUGAUGUGAUGUAUUUAUAAGUUUUAAAUAUGUUCUUGUACAACUGAUCUCCUGUAAGUAAACAACAUGCUUACCUUAUUUUAAAAUAUAAAAUGUAAUGAAUUUGAAUGAUAAACUACAGUGUGAUCCUCAAGUUUAUACUACAAGUAUAAGCUCAUGUUAAAUCGCUAUGUUUCAUGUACAUAUGUAUGUUUGUUUGUUAUCAUCGAAAUAUAUCAAUAUUUUAAAUAUUAAACUAUAAAUGGU